CCUUCCCGGCCCUGCCCGGCUCUGCCCGGCUCUGCGCCGCCGGGGCCAUGGCCGGGCCCGAGCCGGGGCUGCGGCUCCGCUUCCAGCGGCGGUUCCUGGCGGCGCGGCCGCUCCGCUCGCUGCCCUGGCCGGAGCUGGAACAAAACCUGCGGGCUGCGCCGGACUCGCCCCUGCUCCGGGAUAUCCUGCACCAGACCAUCCUCCACCCUCUGUGUGUGAAAUAUCCCCCCUCAACCAAGUACAGGAGGUGCUUUCUGACUGAGCUCAUAAAAAAGCACGAAUCCACAGCAGCUGAACCCCUGGAUGAACUGUAUAAUACACUGGCAGAUGUUUUAAAAGAAGAAGAAUCUACUCAGUGUUACAAAAACUACUUACUGCCCACAGGAGACUGUGUGACCCUUUGUGAGAGCACAGCCAUGAUCUCUGGGGGCACCACGGGGCUCGUCACGUGGGAGGCUGCCCUGCACCUCGCCGGGUGGGCAGGGGGCAACCCCGAGGUGUUCAGGGCCAGGACAGUCUUGGAAUUAGGAAGUGGGAUUGGCUUCACUGGAAUUGCCAUCUGUAAGACCUGCCAACCCAAGACAUACAUAUUUAGUGACUGCCACCACUGUGUUCUCAGACAGCUGGGAGAGAACAUCCGUCUCAAUGGCUUCCAAGUGACCUGGUGUAUCCAAACAGAGCCCCAAGGGCAGGAGGUGGAAACAAAGAACUGCCAAACCCCAAAACUGAUGGUUGCAGAACUUGACUGGGGCUCAGUGACAGAGGAACAGCUGGUGGGUCUCCAACCUGACGUUGUCAUCGCAGCAGACGUGGUGUAUGAUCCAGAGAUAAUUUUAGCCCUCAUUGGGAUGCUACAGAAACUCUCCACCUGCAGAGCAGACAGAAAAGCUCCUGAGGUCUUCAUUGCCUUCACACUCCGUAACCCAGACACGUAUCACCUGUUCCAGGCUGAACUGGAUAAAGUCGAGAUCAGGUGGCAGAUUAUUCCAGCCCACGGCAACAGUAAUUUUCUCUAUGAUGUGCAGCCAAAUGUAACUAUUCUCCAGCUAUUUAUAUAGGCUUGGCAAAUAGAAUUAGAAUUUUGAGACUAUGUCAUCCUUGCAACAAGAUUAUCCUGAGUUCUGGAAGCACAUACCAGAGGUGCUGGACUGUACACACGGGCUGUUGUCAAUGUGAGUUGUUUCUUCCUGUAAUUUCCAGCAUUUCUGCAAAGAAGCUGCUGCUCCUGAAAAGAGUGACCCUGAAAAUAAGCUGGAACGUGCACAGGCAGCUGUAUUUCAGCACAGAAGAAACAAAGAGUGCAAAGAACAGGCUAAACCAGCAACAGAUUUGCUGCUCAACCUCUCCAGAAACAGAGGCAUCCUACAGAGCUAUGGAGAAAUACCAGACCAGGAGAGGCCAUUUUUCCUGCCUCCUACUGCUACAGACACGAUUCCAUCUUCCAGCAGAGUGUUUUCCUUAACAAGCUGAGCAAACAGCCACCCUCCCUUUGCAGCUCUGUCUCACAGAGCAUGGAGGCCAACAGCACAUUUAUUCCAUUCAACUCAGACCCUACACAUUCUGAGGUGGGCAUUUCAAAAAUACCCUCUACACACUAUGGAUUUCACUUCUUUUUCAAGCAUUAGUUUGGUAAAGUAACUCCCUGGUCAAUCUGCUACAGGUGACACCCUGCACACAGGCAGAGGGGAACAUGCAACACUCAAACCAAGACCCUGAAGGCUCUCACAGUAAGUAAGGAAGAGGUGCUAUUAAGGAAGCAUCCAACCAUU